AGCGGUCACACGAUUCAAUGGGAGCGGAACGACCGCUAUGACGAAAGCAAGUCGAUUUAUACUGUGAUCACUCACACCACUCAUGUAAGAUUCAUCUUACGAAUACCAAAGUGCCGUCUUCGCCAGACCUGUAUAUACGACAUUGGGCAACUGUCGCGUUCGGGUCGUUUCGUAAGCGAGAUGAGCGUUUUUAUGUUUCUGGAUGGAUAUCAAUCGGCAUUAGAAUAUCUAGAGAAUAUCAACAAAGCACACAUUCAUAGGAUACCACAAUGGCUCUGUACCAGUUUUCUUUUGAAGAGGUUGUCGAAAAACAACAUCGUAAUAGACUUUUUCGUUGUAACUAUCAGAUAAAAGUGAUUGGUGAACUAAUCGAAGCUUUAUAGAAUGAGUGGCGGGAAUCACUGACGGAGCAGCAGAACAAAAUAAACCGUUUAUUUACUGGACAAUUAACCACCAGAAUAAUGUUCAAAACCCUCAGAAUAAGAAUAGCUUCUCUAGUAGUGGUGUGUAUGUAUGAAUUACUCAUCGAAACAGAUUAACACUUCGAUCCGGGGACAAAUCCAACUUGAAUCGCAAAUGGAAAGGUGUUCCGCUAUCGUUGAAAGCAUAUACUCUAUAUCUGGUGGGAGUUGCCGAAUCCAGAACACUGUCACAAUGCAAUACUCGUCGAUACUAGGCAUGGCUGGUGUUCUCUCAUCCGUCAUCUUCUUCUGGAAUGAACUAAUCAUGCAAUCGGUUUCUAACCAUUUUCAAACUGGUUGUGAAUAAAAGAAGUAUCCGUUUGUAUCAGGUGAAGAAAGUAAGAAAUUAAAAAUUUCGGCUGGUUUAACUGGGAAUCUU